rnacentral:rRNA from 1 species
AUACGUAGGGAGCGAGCGUUGUCCGGAAUUACUGGGCGUAAAGGGCGCGUAGGCGGCGCUUCAAGUCGUCUGUCAAAUGUGAGGGCUUAACCCUUUUUCGCAGACGAAACUGUGGCGCUGGAGAAGCAGAGAGGCAAACAGAAUUCCUGGUGUAGCGGUGAAAUGCGUAGAUAUCAGGAAGAAUACCAGUGGCGAAGGCGGUUUGCUGGCUGCAUACUGACGCUGAAGCGCGAAAGCCAGGGGAGCAAACGGGAUUAGAUACCCCGGUAGUCCUGGCAGUAAACGAUGUAUGCUGGGUGUGGGAGUAGCGAUACCUCCGUGCCGAAGUUAACGCGAUAAGCAUACCGCCUGGGGAGUACGGUCGCAAGAUUGAAACUCAAAGGAAUUGACGGGG